UCUUGAAGUAAGGUAGGGUUCUUUUUUGUUGCUUUGAAUUUAUCAAGCCUAUCUAGAAUUUUAGAAAAUAGUAUUUGCUUAUAUGCUGCAAAACUAUCCAAUACCUUGUCUAUAAAUAUAAUACAUGGUUGCUGGCAGGGAGGGGGAAUUAGAUGCAGUGAUAUAUAUGCAGAUAGAUAGAUAGAUAGAGAUAGAGAUGCACUGCAUUUUAUUCACUUUUUCACUUUGCAAAAAUUUAUUGAGUUCCUACCAUGUUAAAGAAAGGUUGGAAGACACAAGGCAUACAGAAAUUAUAAAGUACAAUCCUUGAUUUCAUAGAGUUCAUAAUAUAUUGGGGAAACA
rnacentral:lncRNA from 1 species